CCAUGUGGUGGUCUCUGAUAGAGGUGAAUAUAGUGGCACCAUGUGGUGGUCUCUGAUAGAGGUGUAUAUAGUGGCACCAUGUGGUGGUCUCUGAUAGAGGUGUAUAUAGUGGCACCAUGUGGUGGUCUCUGAUAGAGGUGUAUAUAGUGGCACCAUGUGGUGGUCUCUGAUAGAGGUGUGUAUAUAUAGUGGCACCAUGUGGUGGUCUCUGAUAGAGGUGUAUAUAGUGGCACCAUGUGGUGGUCUCUGAUAGAGGUGUAUAUAGUGGCACCAUGUGGUGGUCUCUGAUAGAGGUGUAUAUAUAGUGGCACCAUGUGGUGGUCUCUGAUAGAGGUGUAUAUAGUGGCACCAUGUGGUGGUCUCUGAUAGAGGUGUAUAUAGUGGCACCAUGUGGUGGUCUCUGAUAGAGGUGUAUAUAUAGUGGCACCAUGUGGUGGUCUCUGAUAGAGGUGAAUAUAGCAGCACCAUGUGGUGGCCUCUGAUAGAGGUGAAUAUAGUGGCACCAUGUGGUGGUCUCUGAUAGAGGUGUAUAUAGUGGCACCAUGUGGUGGUCUCUGAUAGAGGUGUAUAUAGUGGCACCAUGUGGUGGUCUCUGAUAGAGGUGUAUAUAGUGGCACCAUGUGGUGGUCUCUGAUAGAGGUGUGUAUAUAUAGUGGCACCAUGUGGUGGUCUCUGAUAGAGGUGUAUAUAGUGGCACCAUGUGGUGGUCUCUGAUAGAGGUGUAUAUAGUGGCACCAUGUGGUGGUCUCUGAUAGAGGUGUAUAUAUAGUGGCACCAU